ensembl:lncRNA
AAAUGAGCCCCCCCCAAAAAAACCCAGAUUUUCUUGAAGGUUAACCUUUCUACCUUAAUUUUUUUGAUUUUGAAGGUUCUUUUUACCUUAAUUAUUUUUUGAAUCAAUGGAGACAAUUGCAAGACUCUGCUGUCGUAACCCAUCUUUCCUCACCUCCCUCGGUGAUAGUCCCCGCUGACAAUUUAAAGAUUUGGUAUCCUAAUGAAGAAGGUAGCAGUGUCCAUACUGUCUGGACAGGGAGAGACGCCAAAGAAGACUAAGACGGCACAUUUCCGGGUUCUUCAUCACCAACUUACCCUGGCCGGGAAAAUGCAGCCCACGCCCGGGAACAAUACAGACCAACUGCGCAGGCGCAACAUGGCCUCCGAUCAAGGAAACCGAAACUUAACUGGCCGCACCUAGGGAACGCCCGCGACACGCCCGUGUCCCGCCUAUUGCCCUCCCACUCUCAAGCCUUAGACAGAAAGGCCGCUCCCGGCAGGUGCGCCGCGCGAACUUCCUCGGCCCCUCCUCAUAUGCGGACCUAGGAACCUUCCCCCGAGAACGCCGGAGUGACUUCCUCGGCCUCCACCGCUGGAGACCGGUGAACUUCGCCCUUUCUUCCUUCACAUUGGCUAGCUAAUAAAGUCUCUUUUUUACCUCGCCUACUUGCCUUUUCUCUGAUGCCUGCUCUGGUGGUCGCAUAAAACAAAUCACAUACGACACAGCUCUUGCCAAUAUACCAUGAGCACAAGUGAGAAGGUUUCUGGAAAAGCCUUUGCUUUUCUCUUCCAGGCAUUAAGCCCUCUUGUUGCCCCCUUUCUUUCCUGCCUGAAAAGCAGACUGAGAAAGGGAGAGGAAGCAGCCAUGUUGGGACCCACCAUGAGGUAGGGAGCAUAAGGAGGAAGGCGUCUAUGCUAGGCAGGGGUGACUGGAAAGUUGGGAGGAGCCUGCUGGUACCAUUCAGAGGCUAAACAAGGGUAGAUGCUUACUUACUCUGUGGGCCUCUUAGAAGCUACUUUUGUAGGGUAUUCUGUUAUUUACAGAGAACACAGUCUUAACUGAUACAUAUGUAUCAAUAGAGUAAAUGUUUUAUUUGAGACAUAAAUUAAACUUACAAGCUUUUCAUGACAGUUUUAGGUGGACUUUAGUAGGAUUUGAAAUAUACGUUUUAAAGAUUGAAGCAAUUAUUUGCAUAUUUAUAGUAGACAGUUAACCACAAAUUAUCUUUGAACCACUCAAAAAGUGGACAUACCAUCAGAGGCAGUAAAUAUGGCCUCUAAUUCAGCGACUCUGCCUCCAUGGAAUUUGUGAAGGAGCAGAUGUGAAACAUGGGCUCAGACAGGGUCUGAAUAACAGCCUUCUGUGUCUGGAGGUACCUCUCUGUCCUGUAAGAGCUGUAAGUUUGCUGGGCAUUGUCCUCAUUCUUCCAGGUUGGAAUCUCCAUAUCAGACAGCACUCCUCCUUGCUUCAUCCGAGGUGGAUUAUGAUCUGUGAAGUUCUGCAGUCAUUUAUGAAGCUUUGCAAUAAUAACUCGGUUAUUAUUAGUCAUGUAUGGGAAUUUGAAAAACAGGAAUUACUAUCUUCAUUUCUUAAAAUUGUUUAUAGACAUUUGAUGGAGGAGAUUAACUUGUCAUUCAACUGCAUUUCUUCUAUAAAUGCUGGCUAAAAUGCAUGUGUACAUAAAUAGAACCAGGGAAGAGGAUUCAGGAUAGCCACAUAGGAACGGUCCGCAGCUCCCAGUGAGAUUGUCGCAGAAGACGGGUGAUUUCUGCAUUUCCAACUGAGGUACCUGGUUCAUCUCACUGGGACCGGUUGGACAGUGGGUGCAGCCCACGGAAGACACGCUGAAGGAGGGCGAGGCAUCACCUCAUCCAGGAAGCACAAGGGGUGGGGGAAUUUUCUCCCUUACCCAAGGAAAGCCAGGAGGGUCUGAGCCUGAGGAACUCUGGCGCAGAUACUGUGCUUGUCCCAUAGUCUUCGCAACCUGCAAACCAGGAGAUCCCCUCCAGUGCCUACCUGACCAGGGCCCUGGGUUUCAAGCAUAAAACUGGGUGGCCAAUUGGGCAGACACUGAACUAGCCACAGGAACUCUUUCUUUCCCCCCCAUACCCCAGCGGUGCCUGGAAUGCCCGCGAGACAGAACUGUUCACUCCCCUGGAAAGGCGUGCUGAAGCCAGGGAGCCAAGUGAUCUGGCUCGGCGGGUCCCACCUACACAGAGCCCAGGAAACUAAGAUCCACUGGCUUGAAAUUCUCGCUGCCAACACAGCAGCAAUCUGAGAUCCACCUGGGACAUUCGAGCUUGGUGGGGGGAGGGGCGUCCACCAUUGUUGAGGCUUGAGUAGGUGGUUUUAUGGUCACAGUGUAAACAAAGCCACUAGGAAGUUCAAACUGGGCAGAGCCCACUGCAGCUCGGCAAGGCUGCUACGGGCAGACUGCCAGAUUCCUCCUCUCCGGACAGGGCAUCUCUGUAAAAAAGGCAGCAGCCCCUGUCAGGGGCUUAUAGCAGACUUAAACAUCCCUGCCUAACAGCUCUAAAGAGAGCCGCGGACCUCCCAGCACAGCAUUCGAGCUCUGCUAAGGGUCAGACUGCCUCCUCAAGUGGGUCCCUGACCCCUGUGUAUACUGACUGGGACACACCUCC